UACAGAGGUCUCAAGCGUUGUUCGGAUUCAUUGGGCGUAAAGGGUGCGUAGGUGGCGCUGUAAGUCGGGUGUGAAAUUUCGGAGCUUAACUCCGAAACUGCAUUCGAUACUGCGGUGCUUGAGGACUGGAGAGGAGACUGGAAUUCAUGGUGUAGCAGUGAAAUGCGUAGAGAUCAGGAGGAACACCCGUGGCGAAGGCGGCCCUCUGGCUCGACCCUGACGCUGAGAGGCGAAAGCGUGGGGAGCAAACAGG
rnacentral:rRNA from 1 species